AAACCAUGAUGUAAGCAUUAUUGCAUUAGCAUCUUAAAAUGCUCCCAAGCAUCGUGAAAACUUUCUCCUUCUAGUUUCUUGAAUAUAGCAACCUCUCUACUUAGUUG
rfam:Gossypium arboreum cultivar AKA8401 contig_8909_1, whole genome shotgun sequence.